GAGAGAGAGAGAGGUUGAUUCCAUGAGAGAGAGAGAGGUUGUCCAUGGGCCGCGUUGUCAGGAGUGAUGGCACGGCAGAGGCAUCCUGGUGACUUGGCAACCAUGCAACACCAUCGUUUAGCCAUUUAAUGCCUGAAUUCAUCUGCUUCAUAAACCUGCCUCAGGCCAGAUGCUCCCUUAGAAACCCACCUCUGGCUGCCUUCUGUCUACGAGUGUGUGUGUGUGUGUGUGUCUCUGUGUGUGUGUGUGUGUGUGUGUGUGUGUGUGUGUGUGUGUGUGU